CAAUGAGAAUUGCUGAUGCUUAAUUUCUCAGAGAGGUACCAAAGCAAGGUAUUUUCUGUGUAGCUAAAUCCCAUCAGUAUUACGGAGAUAAUGGCAUGUGCACUGGAAGGAAAAUAGCCGGCUCAAAGAUGAGAGGAGACCACAUUUUUACAUAAACAGCAGUUCAGCUAUUGAUUUUUUUUUAAAAGUAAGGCUUCAGCUGAAACCUUUCAGCAGGUGCUGUAACACAGAGCUUCGGGCAGAAGCUGAAUUUCAGGAAAUCAGAUGGAAUCUUAAUUCUACCUUAGAUUUCUGGCUGACCAUUUGUGGACUGCUAAGCACUGUUUCAAGUGACUUGAACCUGAAUUGCAGAUAGUGAACAGAUCACAAAUGGCAAAUGUCAUUUUUUAAACAACUCUGGCUGCUAUUUUAUCUGGAUUUUUUUUUUUUUUUUUUUUUAAUUUCAGCUUCAUCUGGUUGGGUCAACUCAAAUGCAAUUAAAUUAAAGAGAGCUAAAUUCCAUUUUUAGUGUUCACAUCAAUUAGUAGAUCAAGUUAAAGACAGGUAGACACAUCUAGGAGCUUAUUUUGAUCUGCAAACUCAUGUCAAGGUUGCAGACUGUCUGGAAUCGAGUGUUACUUUGUUAUUUAACUUGCCUUCAUAACUCAAAGUGAAAACUUAAGUCUCAUUCUUGCAAAUACAAGAGACUAUUGUUGCUGAUCUCCACCCUCUAGAGUCUGAUAUCCCUCAGUCAACAGGGUUGAAAUUCUGGCCUUGCUGAAAUUGAUGACAAAACUAUUAACAUCCAUGGGGCCAGAAUGUAACUUGAAGAAUCUUUCUCAAACCAGAAAAGUCCUUCUAUGUUCAAGAAACUUUUAGACUGUGACCAGCUAUGUGGCAGACUUCUGUUAACUCUGGGGUGAUUUACAGCAACAAAAAUGUCUGCAAGAUGCGCUUUGCUGAAGCGUGCAGCAGGAGUGCUCAGCAUGCAGGAGUGCCAUUCAUUGUAGUCAGACACACUCUUUGAAAUCAUAUGCUCCCAGCAGAUUAGUAAGAGUUUUAAUCUCAAAAGACAAAUCUGCCCCACCAUUGAAUUCAUGGAGAGCUGCAUUCCUCACGCAUGAGUAUAUGAAAACCUUGUUGUCCCGGCUGCACUGCUAAGGACUUCACAGGGCAAUGUGUGUGUCCUCCUCACAAAGACAUUGUGCCAAACCAGAGCUUUCAUUUUUUCUCAAUUCAGAAUAAAAUUAUCAGGGUUUUGGUCCUGCACAGGCACACUUGUCCAGCAAGAGUAGACAAGAACCAGAAAUUUUUAGGAGCAGAAAGUGGCAACGGCAGAUAAUCACUGUUGAGAUAAAAAUUCUCAGCAACGCUCAACUCGCAGGAGAAUAAACUGGAAGUUUUGAUAAACAGCCCUCGCUCUGCUUUGAUGCCUGCCCACACAAAGCCACUGUUUUCUGUAAAACAUUUUGCCCUUGUUUGCUUCUAAUGUAAAUUUGAGGUCACUUGGUAGAAAUGCAACACCAUAGGGAGAUAUGAACACUCAUGGAAUUAGUGAAUGCUUGAAAAGGUAAAAUUCCUAUCCUUGCUGUAGUGAUUAUGAAUACCAGAUUUUUUGUCGUGUUUUUCUCUCUCCAUCUCUCUCUUUUUUUGUUGUAUAUAUAGCCAGUGAUAUUAAUGGCACUCUCGUGUCAGACUUAUUUUUCUAAAUGAAUACUAAGAAUGUUUAAGAGUUCACAUAAUCCAUCUCUAGAAAGGAUAUUUAGCUAAUCUUUCUCAUUUAAUAUACACACAAAAAACUAGACAGGUUUUCACCCAUAAACCUCUGUGGCAUAAAAUGAACAACAGCAACUUUGCCAGCAGUCCAUUUUUAUAAAUAUUCUGCUCAAACAUUUUAGACACGUUCUUUUUCUGGAACUUUAAUAUUCUGGAGGUGAUAAGCUUACACCUUGGAAGCAGCUGACAGUUUGUAAACUCAAGUGAUGAUGACUGCAGAAGCCAAAAUAUUUCUUGUCGUAAUACAUCAGGUCAACUCAUAAGAUGAUCUUGUUUGUUUGCAUUUCAAUGAGUUGCUAGUUGAGUGAUUUACACCAGCUGUUUCAAAAAGCAGGAUACAAGCGAUGUCCCGUGUAAUGAUGAGCUGAUGCUGGUUAAAACAUGGCCUUAGUGAUACGUGCUUAUUUGCUCACUUCUUCCACUUUUAUUUUGGUGGAAAGAUGUUCAGUUAAUUUUUUUUCUUUUGGUUUCUUUAUGAUUCUUCUCUUGCUGGCUUGGCCCAGUGCAAAGAACAUAGUUCAUAAGAGUAUAUAGAAAGAGCUAUUUUUGUGGUAUUACUGCCCUGCUAGCCCUAAUUAUCAUUAUGUCUCUUGAGAAAUAAGUGGUUCUAAUAGUCCUGGGCUUUUCCUAUCCAUGCUGCUUCUUCAGAAGAUAAUUGCUGUCUAUUUCAAACCUUUUCCCUGGCAGAGUAAGGAACGGUCAUGUCCUGUCUCCUCUCUUGCCUCUCUCCCCACCAUGCAUUAAUUUCUCUACAAAAAAUCUAAUAUAGCUCAUCUCUGCUUCUCACUGCAGGCUUCCCUGGCAACAACAACAGCUGAAAAACUUGUGUUUUCCUUUUUUAUAUACAUUUGCAGAUCUGUGAUAAGAAACAACAAAGUCAAAGGGUUCGAAAGUAAAAGUAUAGAAUGAAUUAGAUGUAAAUCUAUCCAAUAGCAAUGGUAUUUCAAAGAGUGUGUCUCAGCACUGCUUGCUGCCAGGCAGUUCAGAGAGAGCAGGAGAAUACCUACGCAUUUGGGCUCUCACGCUCUUUGACCUCCGACUACAGUCUAUCAAGUAUUUUAAAGCACUUAUUAUACCUCUAGUUAUAUUUCCAUAAAAUAUAGAAAUAUUUUCUUUGGGAAGACCAAAGCCUUAUAAACACACCGGGAAGAGCAACGUACAGCAAACAAUAACACAUAUGCUCUGAUCCUUCACUUGUUCCGUCCUGGUCCUCAGCAAGUCCUACAGUUGUGUGACAGAAAGGAGCACUCACGUCGCACAGGGAGGAAACAGCUGGUCUCUGGAUUUCCAGCGGGUAAACACAUAUGUCUUGAAUUAUUGUUCUGGAGCACAUGGGACGUGGAAAAAGAGCCUGGAUUUGUCCCCGAGCAUGGGAUCUACUACGACCUCCUGGUAUGAAGAAUCUAAACUUGUAGCCAGAACAUUUGAUGUUUUCCAUCACUGUGGCUGAUGCAGAUGUAUUCUUUGCUCUUUAAUGAACCCCAUAAAAAGUCAUUUGAGUCCUAGAUGUUUACUUUGUCUUGAUAAAAAAUAAGCAAGCAAUGCACACACAAAUGAAAUGGGCCAUUUAAAUGGGAUGGAAGUUAAAAGCAGCAGUACGUCUGCAUCAUCUGAAAAACAGGGAAAUUCAGAUCAGAGUAUAAAUGUUAUGACUUAGACUCUUCUUUCAGAUAAAUAAUGCAUUUAGCAGCUGUGUUCAUUUUUGUACUUGUCCACAUGGAUUGCAAGUUUAGGGUGCUGAAUUAUUUGAUUAACACACAGAUGGUAAACAUGAAUAAGAGUAUGCAAUAAAAUCUUACCGUAAAUGUAAAACGCCCUUAAAAAUCCUAGUAAAGCUGUAUGCAGAUUCAGAACUGAUGUAUUAUUAUGUCUGACCAACAAAGGGCAAGCAAAUCCAGGCAUCGGAAAUAAAAUAAAACAAGCAGAGUCUCAGAGUUACAAAUUUGUAUGUUAUGACAUAUGCAAAGGAUGUAUAUUAUAUUUCAGCAUGUGUAAUACCUUAACACUGCCUCCACAGUAUUGCUGCUGCCAAGUUUGUUCUGAGCCAAAAUAUCUACAGAUAGAAACAGAAAUACUGUAUACAUAGACAAAGGCAUUGAUAUCUGGAAGAUGAAGCAAAAUGCUUCAAGAAAAGCCAAGUCAAAGAUACUGUAUGUUUUGAACAGAAUUAUCCAGUACCUUGAUAAAAUAAGAGCAAGCUGGAUAGAUGAAGAUAUGACCCAGUAAGGAAGCAUUAUUCUUAACACCAGUAAUGUGUAGAGCUUUCUAAAGGCAAAGCUGAGAUAAUACACACAUUUUCAAAAGCAUUUCAGGAGUUUUUGAAAAUUGUGUCCUGGAUAGUCAGAAUGUAUCCCUUCCAUUACAGAUAAAGAAAAAAAAAAAUCCAUCAGUUUGAAGAUUUGUAUCCUGACACAAGGAUUUGUAUUCUGGCCAUCCAUUAGUCUUAGCCUAUCUGGUUCAUCCCAUUUGCAGAACCUACAAUUUUGUGGACUCUGAUGUGCUCUUUCUGAUAGACAGACACAGAAGGCAUGCAGAGAAGGUGGAAAAAUCUGGGCAUGGAGUGUUUACUACUGGAACAAAACACUCCAACAAGAAAUUUGCUUGUAUAGAAGCGAGGGUAACCCGGAGGUGCAGGCAUCUACUUAUACGCCGUAUGGAUGCAUUUUGAUAAUAACCACACGAGGGCAGAAAAGAACAGACAUCUGCGGACAGCCAGACGGCAGCCUGAUUUAAGAGAAGCGUCAAGUUCUGAUAUUUUUGUAAGGGAUUUUCUAUAUUUAUCCAUUCAAACGCACACACAUCUGGAAUUAUUUAAAUAUAAAUAUAUCGAUAGAACACAUGUACACAGUGAAUAUAUAUUUAUAGUGUGCAUUUGUAAAUAUGUAUUUCUGGCAAGUAUGAGGAAAAUCGGUUUGGUUUUAAUUUUGGAUUGGCCUCAGUAAGGAUCUGAGAAUAACAGAGGCAUAAAAACAACUGAACCAUAUUUCCCUCUCAUUAACAUAAGCUGACAGUGCUUUCUUCAGUCUUUACUACUGUACAGGUAGGAGGCUGCGAUUAAGCAAGACAAGGAUCAAACUCUGAAAUGGGGAGACCCAUACAAUCAUAAGGGUUUCCAUGAUCAGGGACACCCCCAUUUUACGAGCUUCAGAUGUCCUGUACUGAGCAACUGGAAGAAGCGAGUUUUGGUCAUAUAAAGCACAAGUCAAAAAAACGAACUUUGUUAUUACUAAUCUACACAGUUACACUGAAUACAUGGUGCAUACCAGUAUUUAAAAUCUCCCAGCCUCACUAAAUCAAAGUGAUCUCAGAUAUGCAAUACAUUUUUAUAGGCAGCCUUGUAAAAAUUAUUCGUCAUGCUUGUAUGUCUGGAAUGUGUCAACAACACUGCAGGCACUGAACCAGCUGAUAGUAAUUACUGGGGGGGGGG
ensembl:lncRNA